rnacentral:rRNA from 1 species
CUACCAUGCAGUCGACGAGGUUCAUUCGGUAGCAAUACUGGAGAAGACCAAGUGGCGAACGGGUGAGUAGCACGUGAGCAACCUGCCCCGAAGACCGGGACAACACCGGGAAACCGGUGCUAAUACCGGAUAUCCCCACCAGAUCGCAUGGUUCGGUGAGGAAAUGGAUUCCGCUUCGGGAGGGGCUCGCGGCCUAUCAGCUAGUUGGUGAGGUAAUGGCUCACCAAGGCGUCGACGGGUAGCUGGUCUGAGAGGACGAUCAGCCACACUGGGACUGAGACACGGCCCAGACUCCUACGGGAGGCAGCAGUGGGGAAUCUUGCACAAUGGGCGAAAGCCUGAUGCAGCAACGCCGCGUGAGGGACGAAGGCUUUCUGAGUUGUAAACCUCUUUCAGCAGGGACGAUAAUGACGGUACCUGCAGAAGAAGCACCGGCCAACUACGUGCCAGCAGCCGCGGUAAUACGUAGGGUGCAAGCGUUGUCCGGAUUUAUUGGGCGUAAAGAGCUCGUAGGCGGCUUGGCAAGUCGAAUGUGAAACCUCCAGGCUCAACCUGGAGUCGCCAUUCGAUACUGCUAUGGCUAGAGUUUGGUAGGGGACCACGGAAUUCCUGGUGUAGCGGUGAAAUGCGCAGAUAUCAGGAGGAACACCAGCGGCGAAGGCGGUGGUCUGGGCCAAUACUGACGCUGAGGAGCGAAAGCGUGGGGAGCGAACAGGAUUAGAUACCCUGGUAGUCCACGCCGUAAACGUUGGGCACUAGGUGUGGGGACCUAUCGACGGUUUCUGUGCCGCAGCUAACGCAUUAAGUGCCCCGCCUGGGGAGUACGGCCGCAAGGCUAAAACUCAAGAUGACGGGGGCCGCACAGCGCGAAGCAUGUGCCUAUCGAGCCA